UGAAGCAAAAGUCGUAACAAGGUCUCCGUAGGUGAACCUGCGGAGGGAUCAUUACAAGUGACCCCGGUCUAACCACCGGGAUGUUCAUAACCCUUUGUUGUCCGACUCUGUUGCCUCCGGGGCGACCCUGCCUUCGGGCGGGGGCUCCGGGUGGACACUUCAGACUCUUGCGUAACUUUGCAGUCUGAGUAAACUUAAUUAAUAAAUUAAAACUUUUAACAACGGAUCUCUUGGUUCUG
rnacentral:misc_RNA from 1 species